rnacentral:rRNA from 1 species
CCUACGGGUGGCAGCAGUGAGGAAUAUUGGUCAAUGGCCGGAAGGCUGAACCAGCCAUGCCGCGUGAAGGUCAGUGCCCUAUGGGCGUUAAACUUCUUUUGUGCGGGAGCAAUAAUGGUCACGUGUGGCCAGACGAGAGUACCGUACGAAUAAGCAUCGGCUAACUCCGUGCCAGCAGCCGCGGGAAUCAGGGGGGGGCAAGCGUUAUCCGGAUUUACUGGGGGUAAAAGGAGGGUAGACGGGAGUGCAAGUCUGGAGGGAAAGGCGGGAGCUCAACCCCCGUACUGCUCUGGAAACUGUACGGCUUGAGUGGAGGAGAAGUAAGUGGAAUUCCUGGUGUAGCGGUGAAAUGCGUAGAUAUUAGGAGGAACACCAGUGGCGAAGGCGGCUUACUGGCCUCUAACUGACGUUGAUGCUCGAAAGCGUGGGGAGCAAACAGGAUUAGAUACCCUUGUAGUC